UUGAUCCUGGCUCAGAAUCAACGCUGGCGGCGUGCCUCAGACAUGCAAGUCGAACGCGAAAUUUCCCUUCGGGGAGAAAGUAGAGUGGCGCACGGGUGAUUAACACGUGGGUAAUUUACCUUCGGGUGGGGAAUAACAGUCGGAAACGAUUGCUAAUACCGCAUGAUGCAGCGGCACCACAUGGUGACAGUUGUUAAAGUGGGGGAUCGCAAGACCUCGCGCCUGAAGAGAAGCCCGCGGCAGAUUAGCUAGUUGGUAAGGUAAUGGCUUACCAAGGCAACGAUCUGUAGCCGGCCUGAUAGGGCGGUCGGCCACACUGACAUUGAAUAACGGGUCAGACUCCUACGGGUGGCAGCAGUCGGGAAUUUUGGGCAAUGGGCGCAAGCCUGACCCAGCAACUCCGCGUGAAGGAUGAAGUAUUUCGGUAUGUAAACUUCACAAGAAUGGGAUGAAUAAGUAGGGGACAAUACCCUCUAUGAUGACGGUACCAUUCGUAAGCUCCGGCUAACUCCGUGCCAGCAGCCGCGGUAAUAAGGU
rnacentral:rRNA from 1 species